UGAAAACGAAGAACCAACAGAAACGGAUAUAAUGGGGCAUAAUGCUGGUCGCACACCAUUCAUAGACAUCUCAAACACAAGCAUUAUAGGUGAUCAAAAUGGAUCAAACUCGCUUGUACCAAUAGUCGAUGCUAAUGAAUGUAAGAGGCAAAGGGAUAAGGAAAGAUAUGCCACGAUGUCCAUUGAACAAAAGAAUGAGAAAAAUAGGAAGCGCCGUGAAGCACGUCAACGAAAUAAAGCACUACCCCUAAAGUCCGAGUCAUCUAGAGAAGACAUUAAUACGAAUCAGACACGUGAGACGGUUAACGUUGAAAUAAGUCGAGAUGUGCAUCUUGGUUCAGGUCCUAUUAAAAACACUCCAUCGCCUGGUAAUUCUAUCGAACGAAAGAGGCAAAGGGAUAGAGAAAGGCGUGCAACAAUGUCGGUUGAACAAAGGAAUGAGUACAAUAACAAGCGUCGUCAAAUGCGUCAACGAAAUAAGGGACAAAAUGUGAUGCCCAAUGUUUCAGG
rnacentral:misc_RNA from 1 species